CACGUAGGGCGCGAGCGUUGUCCGGAAUUAUUGGGCGUAAAGAGCUCGUAGGCGGCCUGUUGCGUCCUCUGUGAAAGCCCGGGGCUUAACCCCGGGUCGGCAGUGGAUACGGGCAGGCUAGAGGUAGGUAGGGGAGAAUGGAAUUCCCGGUGUAGCGGUGAAAUGCGCAGAUAUCGGGAGGAACACCGGUGGCGAAGGCGGUUCUCUGGGCCUUACCUGACGCUGAGGAGCGAAAGCGUGGGGAGCGAACAGG
rnacentral:rRNA from 1 species